GCCGUGUAUAACAGGAGGAAACCUUGCCCCUUCCCUGUGCCAUUCCCCAUCCUUGCUAUGUUUGAGCCCAUUUUUGGCUUACACGUUGCCCGCCGAGUCGAUUCCAACUCAGUGACCUUGUAGGACAGAGUAGAGCUGCCCCAUAGGGUUUCUGCAGAAUGGUUUGUGCACUGGAACUUCCAAUCUUUUGGUUAGUAGCCAAACUCAAACCAGAGUACCACCAGGGCUUCAUUAUUGGCUUAAUGCUCCAUUAAUGAUGAGAAAUGAGGAUUCGCAGCUAGUAGUGGGGAGCCCAAUUAGAGCCCUGGUCUGAGGGUCACCAAUAUUAUUGUUGUUAGCUGCAGUGGCCCUGACUUACCGUGACUCCAUGUACAACGUAAAUAAAGGAAGUGCACUAUCCCCAUGAAUGGUUUUAGAUUCAACUGUAGCGAUCCACAGGGUUUUCUUUUCUGAUUUUGGGAAGUAGGUCAUCAGGCCUUUCCUCCUAGUCUGUCUUAGUGUGGAAGCUUUGCUAAAGUCUGUUUAGUAUCAUAGCAACACAGAAGCCUCUACAGACAGGCGGGCUUUGGUUGCAGAUGAGGUCCAUGGGCCUUGCCGGGAAUGGAGUCCAGAUCUCCUGCGGGGAAGGUGAAGAUUCUGCCACUGAGCUGAGUUUCAUGACAGCUUCAGACCUCCACUCCUGGGCACUUGGGAUUAUGCCAGUCUCUUGGAGACAGAUGAAAACUCUCCCCUGGAUGGCUUUGCUGGUUCUGCACCAGCCAGCGCCCCCUUCUCUCCUACAGGACCUGAUCAUACUCCUAGACCCAUUCCCACCCUCCUGGUGGUGAGGAUGUCCCCUGUGCAAGUCCUGCUUCUCAAGGGGCUUGCUGUCAGGCACAGGCAGAGUGGGUGGUAGUGGCCUGGCAAAGCCCUUGUGUGAAAAUUAAAGGCAGAAGCCUGUAGAUGGGGCCUAGGUUUGGGCUAGAAAGACCCAAGUUCAAAUCCUGGCUCAGCCAUCAUUAGCCACGUAACUUUGGGGAAGUUACUUCAUCCUGAGCUUUAGUUUCUGUGAAGUGGUGAAACUGCAGAAGCUCUCUAAGGGCAGAGAUCUUGUUUGUGUGUUUCUUUGUUUUUGAAUUCGCAGUGCCCGGCACAUAGUUGUGUGCCAUUGAGUCAGUUCUGACUCAUAGUGACCCUUACAGGAGAGGGUAAAACUGCCCCAUAGGGUUUCCGAGGCUGUAAUCUUUACAGGAGCAGAUCACCAGGUCUUUUCUCCCAUGGAGCCGCUGGUGGGUUUGAACCUCCCACCAUGCUGUUAGCAGCUGAACUCUUAAACAUUGUGCCACCAGGGCUUCCUGGCCCAUAGUAAGUACACAGAGCAUCUGUGACUGUUCCUUGUGUGAGAAGUGUCCUGAGCAUGGGUUUUGAAGUCCCAGGUAGGUGGUGUCCUAUCCAGUUCUCUAGAGCUUUUUGCAGGUUGUGAGGCCAGAGGCCUUUAGGUGAUGUGAUGUGGAGAGUGAGAAUACAGGUGGCGAUGCGUCCCACUGCUCCCAGCUUUGUUCCCUUUGGGGCCCCCACAGGAACAGGUUUUGGCUCUCUCUCCCUGCCUUCGUUGGACUGCUGUGGAAAAGGUUGGUUUGGGCUCUGUGAGGUCUCUGAGGAGGUCCGCUAGCAGGGAAUUGUUCAUUGUUGUGUAAUGGAAGGCAGGUGCUGGACAUUACGUCCUUUAUUUUUCACUGACUUGUCUUUGGCCUGGAGGAGCCCUGGUGGUGCAGUGGUUAAGUGCUCAGCUACAAAUUAAAAGGUUGGCAGUUUGAAUUCACCAAAACCCACCAGCCACUCCACAGGAGAAAGAUGUGGCAGCCUACUUCCGUAAAGAUUUACAGCCUUGGAAAGUCUGUGGGGCAGUUCUGCUCUGUCCUAUAGGGUCACUAUGAGUUGGCUUCAACUUUAUGGCAGUGGUUUUUUGUCUUUGGCCUGCCUCCCCACGUGGGCCAUUUCCCAGGCCACAGCUAUUGGUUUUCUUCCCUGACUCACGAGUGUCUGCUUUCCUACAUUUGAAAGUGACUGUGGACUACCCAUGUCCUGGUCAUUCAUGGUGCACAGAGAGGAAUUGCCGAAACCGUUUCCCUGUGUUUGGAGGGUCCAUUCCUGUCCCUUCCAGACCUCCCACAUGUCUUUCUCCUCACCACCCGUUAGAUGCUUUCUGGUUCCUGGUGUGUCUGGGUUAUUGAGUGCUCUUUGUGAGGUUUCUGUGAGUCUUUUCUAAGUGAUGAGGAAGCAUGGCUCCUGCCUUAGGGAGCACAGCGGCUGUUGGUGGAGCCAGGAGAGGGUUCAGCCCUCAACCAGGGCUCCACUUCUGGACGUCUGCCCUGCCACCUUCUCCCUUCUCACAUCCUUCUGGCCCUUUCAUACCUUGAGGUAAAGACUGAUGUGUUUAUCUCUCUGACUCCUGUGAUCCCCAAAGCUGUGUCUGGCGGGUAGUCAGUAAUCAGUAACAAAAGAGGACGAAUCAGGAAAGGAAAAGAGAGAGAUAGAUCCAUGAUUGUGAGGACAGAGUGUGUCGCAUUGUAUGGUGUCAGGGGAAACAAAACUACUCGUGAGCAGGCAAGGGUGCCUAGGGGAGAGAAAGUGUCCUCUGUUUUUCUCGCCUUGGGAGUGUUCUCAUUCGUUAGAGCCUGCCCUGAGUCUGGCCAUGGGAAGGUGCUUGGCAUGGGACCAGUCCACCAGGGGAGGAUUUUUCUCUGGCCUUUGAUUAAGAUGGCAGGGAUCAGAGCAGUAAAGAGGUGAGUGGAGCAGAAUAUAACCAAAGGUGUACGAAUGCUGCCCUCAUCCAGCAGCAGGUAACAGAACUGUGGCCCUCCUGCCCCCAGCAUCCCUUCAGGUCCACGCAGUCUCUGCUGGUCUGUCGUGGCGCAUGCACAAAGCCUCCAGCCUCUGCAUCUUUUUCAGGCCAUCAUGGAGUAACUACACAUUGAUCAGAGUUGGGCACUCUGCCACAGACUGUCCACCGCCUCCAUCUUUAAACUGUUUUUUUUUUGGUGAGAAAAUAGUGUAGACAUAAUAACAGCUGACAUCUGUGAUCUGUAAAUACUGUGCUUAGUCCUUUCCCAGUGCCUGCCAUGCCCUGUUGUGAGCAGGGACAGGUCUGCUGCUCCUUCACAGCUUCUCAUUUGUUGUAGAUGAGUCCGUGGUGUGCAGGGGCUCCAUGGGAGUUGUCAUUAUGUCGAGAACACUCUAGACCCUGGUAUCCUUGAGUUGAGACAAGUUUGAUGUGAAUAAAUGGGCCACUCAUACCUGAAUAAGCGGGACUAUUUUCAUUGAUGUCAGCCUGAAGAAAGAAGAGGUAAUGUUCGGACCAGAUGCUUUAGUGACCUCCUGCUCUAUGGCCUUUUCAUCAUUAGGGGAUGAUCCUUGGAUCUGGAGAUCACUGAUGCAAACUCCAACAUGGCUGACGCACCGAUGUUCUCAGGAUGGUGACCUGGGGUCCCCAGGUCCCCUGGAGGGGCUUUCUAAUGGACUUUAAAUACGUCACCCUACCGUCUUCUGGCCUCCAUGGGUUCUGAAGAGAAAUCAGUGCUCAACCUUUUAUGUGACAAGUUGUUUCUCUCUUGCUGCUUACAGAAUUCUAUUUUGUCUUUGGGUUUCAACAAUUUGACUGUAAUGUGUUUAGUGUAGAUCUUUUUGAGUUUUACUGUUCAGAGUUAGUUAAAAACAAAAAAACCCAGUGCCAUUGAGUCAAUUCCAACUCAUAGUGACCCAGAGUUAUAUAUGUUCAUGUCUUUCAUCAGAUUUGAGAAGUUUGCAGCCAUUAGCCCAUAACUUGUAUCUUUUUAUUAUAUUCUCAUUUUUUUCAUGUAUCAUUUUUUUAAUUUCCUUUAGUUCUUUGUCCAUGGUUUCUUUGAACAUAUUUAAGACAGUUGAUUUAAUGUCUUUGACUGAUAAUAAUUUCAAUGUCUGGGCUUCCUUGGGGAUGAUUUCUGUCAAAUUUUUUUUUCCUGUGAAUGGGCCAUGCUUUCCUGUUUGCUAGUACGUUUUGUAAUUUUCUGUUGAGACCAACGUUUUGGGUAUUAUGUAGUGGUAACUCUGGAAUGCUAAUUCUCCCACUCCUCAGGGGUUGCUGAUUGUUGCUUCACGAGGGGUGGAGCCGUCUGUUUGUGACGUCUGAAGUUUUCUGUUCCAUUAUCUCUGUGGUCAACCAGUAAUCUAACAAAAAUUUUUCCUUAAACAUCUGUCACCCAAAAGGGGAAAGAAAGAAAAUUUUCUCUUUAAAUCCCCUCAACAGACACCACCUGGGAAGCCACUUCAGCUGUGGGUCACUUGAAACAAGGCUUUCUCUCUGUGCUGGCCCCUCAGUGAUCAAAAGCAGCGAUCAGUAAUCAAAACACACAGCCCCUAUUUUUGGAUGGCAAGGCCCUUAUUGCCACCCUGGCACCAGCAAGUCAAACCAGGCAUGCCUGCUCCUGUGCCCAUGGCUGCCUGCUGUGGGGAUGGGCAAUAGUAGCCACUAUGCAAAAAACAAAAAUUCACCAGCCUCUUCAAACUCUUUGGAAGCUGCAAGUAUUGGACUAGAGGACAGAGUUCCAAAAUAGUUUAUUCUGACAGUUUUUGCAAGCUCAAUAGUUGUUGGGUGGAGGGACAGAUUCCUGGAGCUUCCUACUUUACCGUCUUCCAUGAUGUCCCCUCCUGGUACACGUUACUAUGAACCAAGACUUUCUGUUGAACUUCGGUGUACUAUGCAUCAUUGUCUUUUCACCUACUUCAAUAAAUCUUGAAACCAUG